GAUGAACGCUGGCGGCGUGCUUAACACAUGCAAGUCGAACGGAAAGGCCCAAGCUUGCUUGGGUACUCGAGUGGCGAACGGGUGAGUAACACGUGGGUGAUCUGCCCUGCACUUCGGGAUAAGCCUGGGAAACUGGGUCUCAUACCGGAUAGGACAACAUUUUGGGUGGUGUGGUGGAAAGUUUUUCGGUGUGGGAUGAGCUCGCGGCGUAUCCGCUUGUUGGUGGGGUAAUGGCCUACCAAGGCGUCGACGGGUAGCCGGCCUGAGAGGGUGUACGGCCACAUUGGGACUGAGGUACGGCCCAGACUCCUACGGGAGGCAGCAGUGGGGAAGAUUGCACAAGGGGCGCAGGCCUGAUGCAGCGACGCCGCGUGGGGGAUGACGGCCUUCGGAUUGUAGACUACUUGCGCUAGGGACGAAGCGUUAUGUGACGGUACCUGGAGAAGAAGCACCGGCUAACUACGUG
rnacentral:rRNA from 1 species